GUUGGACAUUUGAGUCAUCAACGAAAUCCAAAGGACUCAUUCCGUUUUCGAAUCUGAAAGUGUACUCUUCUUCUUCUUCGUUUUCGACUUCUUGUGGUUCAUUAGCAUGAGAUUCUGAGGGUUUGUUACUGAAUAAAGUUGGAUUUGUCUCAACCAAUGCAUCAUCACAGUCAUCAUCAUUUUCAGAUUCAGAUGAAGAAUCAUCAGAACUAGAUUCCCUAUUUUCAGAAACUUCCUCUAUUUUCUGCUUCUUUGAACUCAUCUCUUUCUCAAUUUCAUCUUCGGGUGUUAACAAUUUCAUCUUCUUUGCGACGGUUGUGGUCUGAAUGCGGUGGUGACGGUGGUGGUGACGGUGGCAGAGGUGAUAAAGAAUAGAUGUGAGAGUUAGGUUUAGUUUUUUUUAUAUUUCUUACGGU
rnacentral:lncRNA from 1 species